GUACACGCUGUGACUAGCAUAUCAAUAAGCGGAGGAAAAGAAACUAACAAGGAUUCCCCUAGUAACGGCGAGUGAAGCGGGAAGAGCUCAAAUUUGAAAUCUUAAAGGGUUUCCCUUUACGAAUUGUAGUUUAAAGAAGUGUUUUCUGUUGAGGUUUUGGUAAAAGUUCUUUGGAAUAGGACAUCAUAGAGGGUGAGAAUCCCGUAUUUGACCUUUACUUUCAACUUUGUGAUACACUUUCAAAGAGUCGGAUUGUUUGGGAAUGCAGUCCAAAAUGGGUGGUAAAUUUCAUCUAAAGCUAAAUAUUGGCGAGAGACCGAUAGCGAACAAGUACCGUGAGGGAAAGAUGAAAAGAACUUUGAAAAGAGAGUUAAACAGUACGUGAAAUUGUCAAAAGGGAAGCGUUUGACACCAGUGUUGUUUUUCUGAAAAUCAAUUAAAGAACUGUUUAUGCUAAGUUGUUUAGACUUUAUCAGCUAUCUGUUUAGUUUUGAGCUUUUCUUUAAUGCACUUUUCAGUUAACAAGUCAACAUCAAUUUCUUUUGCUGUAAAAAAGCUUGAGGAAGGUGGCUUGAGAUUCGUCUUAAGUGUUUAUAGCCUCUUAGCCUAUGCAGUCGGAGAGAUUGAGGUCUGCAGCGUAGAUCCUUCGGGGCUAAAUGCAUUUGUGCUAAGUUAUAGCAUUUUAUAGACAACUUGUUGACUAUGAUUUGUCUUGUAGCUUACUCGCUUAUGUUAUUUUACCUACGCUUAGGAUGUUGAAGAUGUAGCACAUCAU
rnacentral:rRNA from 1 species